AUGCCGCCGGGGAAGGGCGGGGAGAAGAAGGGGAGGAGGAGGAGGUGGCUGCCGGCGGCGUGCCUCCCGCGGCCCGGGUGCUUCACGGUGUCCGGCGCCGACGAGGGGCCCUCGGGCUCCGGCUCCGGCGCCGACGAGGGAGGCGGAGAGGGGGGCAGCAGUCGGGCGCCCACGCAUCUGAUCGUGACCGUCAAUGGGAUCGUCGGCAGUGCAGAAAAUUGGGGUUACGCAGCAAAACAUUUCAUCAGAAAACACCCUGAGGAUGUGGUUGUUCAUUGCAGUGGAUGCAACUCAGCAACUCGAACUUUCGAUGGUGUUGAUGUGAUGGGAAGGAGAUUAGCGGAGGAGGUGCUUUCAGUUGUUAAGUGUAGACCAGAACUUCAGAAGAUCUCCUUUGUUGCACACUCAUUGGGUGGGUUGAUUGCAAGAUACGCCAUUGCACUACUAUAUGAGCCUGCUACACAAACAGAUUGUCAUGAGGAGUAUGAGAAGGAUGUCACUGAUGCUCGUAGCAACCAACCGAUGGGUCAAGGCAAGAUUGCUGGUUUGGAGCCCAUGAACUUUAUAACUUUUGCAACACCACACCUUGGCACAAGAUCACAUAAACAGAUGCCCCUUCUCCGUGGUUCCUAUAGAUUGGAAAAGAUGGCUUUUGGUAUGUCCUGGCUUGCUGGGAGAAGUGGAAAACAUCUUUUUCUAAAGGAUGUUGAAGAUGAGAAGCCACCAUUACUUCUUCAGAUGGUUACUGAUUACGGGGAUCUCCAUUUCAUAUCAGCUCUUCGUUCUUUCAGGCGUUGUGUUGCUUACUCAAAUGUUUGUGGUGAUUUCGUUGUUGGCUGGAAGACAUCUUCAAUACGCCGUCAACAUGAGCUUCCCAAGAAAGAAGAUUUUGUGGAUGAUGUAAGAUAUCCACAUGUUGUAUAUGUGGAAAAACCAAAGGUUCGGGAUGUUGAUUUUUCGGAUGAAAUGAUUUAUCAGGCAAAAACUACAAGUGAAAUGGAAGAGGUAAUGCUGAAAAGCCUAAAUAGAAUUCCCUGGGAAAGGGUAGAUGUUAGCUUCAAGAGAAGUAGACAAAGGAUUUUUGCUCAUAGCACCAUUCAGGUGAAGACGUAUUUCUUCAACUCUGAUGGGGCUGAUGUGGUCUUCCACAUGAUCGACCAUUUUCUCUACUAA
rnacentral:rRNA from 1 species